UACGAAGGGUGCAAACGUUGCUCGGAAUUAUUGGGCGUAAAGCGCACGUAGGCGGCUUGGCAAGUCGGAUGUGAAAUCCCUCGGCUCAACCAAGGAAGUGCAUCCGAAACUGCUGAGCUUGAGUACGAAAGAGGAUCGCGGAAUUCCCGGUGUAGAGGUGAAAUUCGUAGAUAUCGGGAAGAACACCAGUGGCGAAGGCGGCUCACUGGCCGGUCUGACGCUGAGGUGCGAAAGCG
rnacentral:rRNA from 1 species